rnacentral:pre_miRNA from 15 species
AUAUAUAUAUGUGUGUAUGUGAGUGUGUGUAUAUAUAUAUAUAUACACACACUCACAUACAUACAUAUAUAUAUA